rnacentral:rRNA from 1 species
UACGUAGGGCGCAAGCGUUUAUCCGGAAUUAUUGGGCGUAAAGAGCUCGUAGGCGGUUUGUCGCGUCUGCCGUGAAAGUCCGGGGCUCAACUCCGGAUCUGCGGUGGGUACGGGCAGACUAGAGUGAUGUAGGGGAGACUGGAAUUCCUGGUGUAGCGGUGGAAUGCGUAGAGAUCGGGAAGAACAUCAGUGGCGAAGGCGGCCUGCUGGGCUGUUGCUGACGCUGGAGGCGCGACAGCGUGGGGAGCAACAGG